UAUAUAAUAGAACAUGCGUUCAAAUAUUUAAAGUUUUGGGAUGUCUGCCAGCCAAUCCCCCAUAGUGUAGUGGUCAUGGUCCCUGCCUAGUAAGCAGAAACCGCUGGUUCGAGUCCCGCUCGGUCUAUUCUUUUUUUGUUUAUUUCUCUUCAUUACAUCUUGCAUAAUCGAUUACAAUCAUUCGAGUGACUCAACAUUCAAUCAUGAUCAUCAGUGUAGCCUAGGCCUAUAAAACGCAAGUGGAAACUUGUAUUGGCCUUCAUUCCUGCCGAGAUGUCAACCGAAAGAACACCUCAUGACCCGCACAUUAUUUUUCGCUAUUUACGGGACCAUGCCUAUCCAGCUCGUUGCAGUCUUUCGAGGAAGCGGUCCAUCCGCCGAGCAGCAAAGAACAAUUUUAAGCUUGAACGCGGUGAACUCAUGUAUCGGCGACUGAAAAAGAAGAUAAACGACGUCCCAGGCACUUACGAUGAUGCUGACCAAGAUGGGGAAUUACACGAAAGUCCUUGGCGCAAGGUCCUUAUGACGCCAAAACAGAUCGAUGACGCGCUUGCGAAUCUCCAUUCGUCGGCCUUAGGUGGGCAUUUAGGAAGGGAUAAAACCUUGGACAAAGUUGAAAAGCGCUAUUGGUGGCAAAACCUUGUAGCCGACGUUAAUGCCUUUCUGAAGAAAUG